rnacentral:lncRNA from 1 species
ACCGGAAGAGGGAGGUUUCCACUCCAGCGAACAGCGCAGAGAGAGCAGAGAGAGUGAAGUGAGGAGAAGAGCUGUCCUGCCUGCCGGAGAAUAGCUUCAUUUAGCACACAAUAAAAGAGUGAAGGACUCCGGGAAAAGGGAAUGUCAGCGCGAAUAUCUUGAAGAAACCACUGAUUUACUUCUUCACCUCUUUGUUUCUUAUUCAAGAGUUUAUCCAAGAACCUGCAGUGGAGAGGUAAAGGUUUGAAGAAGCAACAAAUCAAGGUUUUGAGGAGGAAUCAUUGGAAUCUGUUCAAAGCUUAUUUUUCAGUUUUCAGUUUUGGAUAAAGAUGCCAGAGAAGAAGAUCGGAAAUCCAGGGAUGAGCAUCUUCAGCUGGUGUCGGGUGGCCGCUGUGGUAGCUCUGAUCUUGAUCAUACUGGGAGGGCUGGGAGCCGCCAUCUGGGCCCUUGGUGAGACUUUCUACUUGCUGAUUUAAUGGAAUACUGCAGCCACUUCAGAGACAUUUUACACUUGAUUUCUGUGUUUGUUUUUCAGUCACAUAUCUCAGAACAACAGAAGAUACUGGUUUAUUUGAU